rnacentral:rRNA from 1 species
CUACGGGUGGCAGCAGUGAGGAAUAUUGCACAAUGGAGGAAACUCUGAUGCAGCAACGCCGCGUGGAGGAUGACGCAUUUCGGUGUGUAAACUCCUUUUAUAUGUCAAGAAAAUGACGGUAGCAUAUGAAUAAGCACCGGCUAACUCCGUGCCAGCAGCCGCGGUAAUACGGAGGGUGCAAGCGUUACUCGGAAUCACUGGGCGUAAAGGACGCGUAGGCGGGUUGGAAAGUCAGGUGUGAAAUCCUACAGCUUAACUGUAGAACUGCACUUGAAACUUCUAAUCUAGAGUAUGGGAGGGGGAGAUGGAAUUAGUGGUGUAGGGGUAAAAUCCGUAGAUAUCACUAGGAAUACCUAAAGCGAAGGCGAUCUCCUGGAACAUUACUGACGCUAAGGCGUGAAAGCGUGGGGAGCAAACAGGAUUAGAUACCCGUGUAGUC